rnacentral:rRNA from 1 species
GCCAGACUCCUACGGGAGGCAGCAGUGGGGAAUAUUGGGCAAUGGGCGCAAGCCUGACCCAGCAACGCCGCGUGAAGGAAGAAGGCUUUCGGGUUGUAAACUUCUUUUGACAGGGAAGAGUAGAAGACGGUACCUGUCGAAUAAGCCACGACUAACUACGUGCCAGCAGCCGCGGUAAUACGUAGGUGGCAAGCGUUGUCCGGAUUUACUGGGUGUAAAGGGCGUGUAGCCGGGUUGACAAGUCAGAUGUGAAAGCCUGCGGCUUAACCGCAGAACUGCAUUUGAACCUGUUGAUCUUGAGUACUGGAGAGGCAGGCGGAAUUCCUAGUGUAGCGGUGAAAUGCGUAGAUAUUAGGAGGAACACCAGUGGCGAAGGCGGUCUGCUGGACAGCAACUGACGGUGAGGCGCGAAAGCGUGGGGAGCAAACAGGAUUAGAUACCCCCGUACU